rnacentral:ncRNA from 2 species
CACGGUAGCGGCGAUGGAGUCCGCCCUUUAACUGCCGGGGACGCCGGCUGAUGACUCCUGUGGAGAA